rnacentral:rRNA from 1 species
AUUGAAUGCUGGCGGCAUGCCUUACACAUGCAAGUCGAACGGUAACAGGUCUUCGGAUGCUGACGAGUGGCGAACGGGUGAGUAAUACAUCGGAACGUGCCUAGUAGUGGGGGAUAACUACUCGAAAGAGUGGCUAAUACCGCAUGAGAUCUACGGAUGAAAGCAGGGGAUCGCAAGACCUUGUGCUACUAGAGCGGCCGAUGGCAGAUUAGGUAGUUGGUGGGAUAAAAGCUUACCAAGCCGACGAUCUGUAGCUGGUCUGAGAGGACGAUCAGCCACACGGGGACUGAGACACGGCCCAGACCCCUACGGGAGGCAGCAGUGGGGAAUUUUGGACAAUGGGCGCAAGCCUGAUCCAGCAAUGCCGCGUGCAGGAUGAAGGCCUUCGGGUUGUAAACUGCUUUUGUACGGAACGAAAAGCCCUGGGUUAAUACCCUGGGGUCAUGACGGUACCGUAAGAAUAAGCACCGGCUAACUACGUGCCAGCCGCCGCCGUAACAC